CGGGGAUGGGACUAAGACAUGCUAGUCGUGCGCCUUCCCAGCCAUGUGGGAGGCGCGGCGCACAGCUCUGUAACACGUGGCUAACCUGCCCUUGGGACGGGAAUACCCCCGGGAAACUGGGGCUAAUCCCCGAUAGGUGAAGAACUCUGGAAUGAGUCUUCGCCCAAAAGGCGUCGGAUCAUGCUUUCGGCGUCGCCCAAGGAUGGGGCCGCGACCGAUCAGGUUGUUGGUGAGGUAACGGCCCACCAAGCCUAUAACCGGUGCGGGCCGUGAGAGCGGGAGCCCGGAGAUGGGCACUGAGACAAGGGCCCAGGUCCUACGGGGCGCAGCAGUCGCGAAACCUUUGCAAUACACGAAAGUGUGACAGGGUCAUCCCGAGUGCCAACCGCUGAGGUUGGCUUUUACCCAGUCUAGAAAGCUGGGGGAAUAAGGAGAGGGCAAGUCUGGUGUCAGCCGCCGCGGUAAUACCAGCUCUCCGAGUGGUGUGGACGUUUAUUGGGCCUAAAGCAUCCGUAGCUGGCUGAUCAAGUCCCCUGUUAAACCCACCGAUUUAAUCGUUGGCUUGCGGGGGAUACUGUUCGGCUAGGGGACGAGAGAGGCAGACGGUAUUCCCGGGGUAGGGGUGAAAUCCUAUAAUCCCGAGAAGACCACCAGUGGCGAAGGCUGUCUGCUAGAACGCGCCCGACGGUGAGGGAUGAAAGCUGGGGGAGCGAACCGGAUUAGAUACCCGGGUAGUCCCAGCUGUAAACGAUGCAGACUAGGUGUUUGGACGGCCACGUGCCGUUCUAGUGCCGCAGGGAAGCUGUUAAGUCUGCCGCCUGGGGAGUACGAUCGCAAGAUUGAAACUUAAAGGAA
rnacentral:rRNA from 1 species